CCCAGUGGCGCUGUCCUGCCGGACCUCGGUUCCCAGGGCUGGGUUCCUCCAGCCCCAGAAUCAGAUGAGCCCACGCACACAUUAACAGAGUACAUGUGAGAGAGAGAGAGAAGCAACCAGCUUGACCAUGAAAGUUAUUUAUUGCCAGGGAUCCCAGGGCUCAGUUGCAUGCAGAAUAAUUCACUAGCAGGUGGCAUGUGGGGGCGCCAGGGAGAGCCAGUCCCAUCACUGUACGACACCUGGUGGAUUGCAACAUUGCAUCUGGGAGCAGCAUGCAAUCGGGCCAGAGACCUCUUGUACCAUGUCCAAGAGAUUUCCACCUUCGUCUAGGGGUGCGGAACACAUCAGAUUGCUGACAGCAUUCCCCGGGGGUGCCUCUGUUCCCGCUCGCAUAUUAAAU